rnacentral:ncRNA from 1 species
ACCGCUAGAAUUUUCGCAAUAUACGGGAUCAGUGGUAAAUUCAGAACCAGCAGGACUAGGUUGCCGAUAUACAUAGAAAUAAUCACACUCCAGAAUAUCUGUGGUUCAUCUAUCAUCAAACGCGGCCC